UACGUAGGGUGCGAGCGUUGUCCGGAAUUAUUGGGCGUAAAGAGCUCGUAGGCGGUGUGUCACGUCGGCCGUGAAAACCUGCAGCUUAACUGUGGGCGUGCGGUCGAUACGGGCAUCACUGGAGUUCGGCAGGGGAGACUGGAAUUCCUGGUGUAGCGGUGAAAUGCGCAGAGUAUCAGGAGGAACACCGGUGGCGAAGGCGGGGUCUCUGGGCCGAUACUGACGCUGGAGGAGCGAAAGCGUGGGGGAGCAAACAGG
rnacentral:rRNA from 1 species